rnacentral:rRNA from 1 species
GACAGAGGAUGCAAGCGUUAUCCGGAAUGAUUGGGCGUAAAGCGUCUGUAGGUGGCUUUUUAAGUCCGCCGUCAAAUCCCAGGGCUCAACCCUGGACAGGCGGUGGAAACUACCAAGCUGGAGUACGGUAGGGGCAGAGGGAAUUUCCGGUGGAGCGGUGAAAUGCGUAGAGAUCGGAAAGAACACCAACGGCGAAGGCGGCUAUCUGGACGGUUUCUGACGCUAAGACGCGAAAGCGUGGGGAGCAAACAGG